rnacentral:lncRNA from 1 species
AUCCCUUUUUAAAAAUUUUUGGGAUGACAAAAGGUGUUUGGCGUGGACUCUUGGCACCCUCCCUUGGAUGAAAACCCUAAUUCCUUGCCUAUAAAAAGGGGUCCCCUAUUCUUGGCAUAAAACAUAAAUUUCCUUGCUGGUUUUUAUUUUUUCAGAGCUUUUCUCCUCCUCCUCUCUUCUUGCUCUAGAUCUUUCAUCCUUUGGAGUGUCUAAGAUGCUUGAAGAAAAAGGAAGAUAUCAGUCAUCGAAGUUGUUUGCAGGCUAGCACCUCCAAGCCCC